rnacentral:rRNA from 1 species
AUUGGACGCUGGCGGCAUGCCUAACACAUGCAAGUCGAACGGCAGCACAGUAAAGACUUAGGUUUUUAUGGGUGGCGAGUGGCGGACGGGUGAGUAACGCGUAGGAAUCUGUCCUGGAGAGUGGGAUAACCCGAGGAAACUCGGGCUAAUACCGCAUGAUAUCGAGAGAUCAAAAGCAGGGGACCCUUCGGGGCCUUGCGAUCUAGGAUGAGCCUACGUCGGAUUAGCUAGUUGGUGGGGUAAAGGCCUACUAAGGCGACGAUCCGUAGCUGGUCUGAGAGGAUGACCAGCCACACUGGGACUGAGACACGGCCCAGACUCCUACGGGAGGCAGCAGUGGGGAAUCUUGGACAAUGGGGGAAACCCUGAUCCAGCGAUGCCGCGUGUGUGAAGAAGGCCUUCGGGUUGUAAAGCACUUUAGUUGGGGAAGAAAAGUAAUAAGUGAAUAAUUUAUUGCUCUGGCGGUACCCAAAGAAUAAGCACCGGCUAACUCUGUGCCAGCCGCCGCAGUAA